CGCACGGGUGAGUAACGCGUAUGCGACCUCGCCCGUUGCGAGGGGGAUAAGUCGGGAGAAACUCCCGUCUAAUACCGCGUAACGCCGCGGGGGCUGCAUGGCCCUGCGGCCAAAGGGAGCGAUUCCGGCAACGGAUGGGCAUGCGUGACAUUAGCUAGUUGGCGGGGCAACGGCCCACCAAGGCGACGAUGUCUAGGGGUUCUGAGAGGAAGGUCCCCCACACUGGUACUGAGACACGGACCAGACUCCUACGGAAGGCAGCAG
rnacentral:rRNA from 1 species